rnacentral:misc_RNA from 1 species
AAGUCGUAACAAGGUAACCGUAGGUGAACCUGCGGUUGGAUCAUUAAAAAAUGUUUGGUCUUGUACCAAAUGAACACCUGUGUGCACCAAAUGACUGUUUUUAAAUGAACACCUGUGUGCACCAAAUGACUGUUUUUGGUAGUUCGAGUUGCUCCUCGGGACUCAACACCCCGAGGUGCCUACCGCUGCCCGAUUAGGUGGACUGGUUUUACAACCUGGGCACCGUCAUUGGGCAACGCGCGGUUGGGCUACCGACCAUUUGAACAAACAUUUUGAUUUUUUUGUCUGAACUUUUAAGAUUUAAUCUUUGAUGAUUAAUGAUUAAUUACAACUUUUGACAACGGAUCUCUUGGCUCUC